rnacentral:rRNA from 1 species
GUGAGGAAUAUUGCGCAAUGGGGGCAACCCUGACGCAGCGACGCCGCGUGGAUGAUGAAGGCCUUUGGGUCGUAAAAUCCUGUCAGAUGGAAAGAAAUGUAUAUGUGCUAAUAUCGCAUAUAUUUGACGGUACCAUCAAAGGAAGCACCGGCUAACUCCGUGCCAGCAGCCGCGGUAAUACGGAGGGUGCAAGCGUUGUUCGGAAUUACUGGGCGUAAAGCGCGCGUAGGCGGUUUGCUAAGUCAGAUGUGAAAGCCCUCGGCUUAACCGGGGACGUGCAUUUGAAACUGGCAGACUUGAGUACUGGAGGGGGUGGUGGAAUUCCCGGUGUAGAGGUGAAAUUCGUAGAUAUCGGGAGGAAUACCGGUGGCGAAGGCGACCACCUGGCCAGAUACUGACGCUGAGGUGCGAAAGCGUGGGGAGCAAACAGGAUUAGAAACCCCUGUAGUCC